rnacentral:rRNA from 1 species
CCCUUAGAUGUCCUGGGCCGCACGCGCGCUACACUGAGUGUCUGAGAUACGAGUCUGCCUGGUCCGGCAAGGUCUAGGUAAUCGCUAAAAGACACAUCAUGCUUGGGAUAGAUUAUUGCAAAUAUUAAUCCUGAACGAGGAAUUCCUAGUAAGCGCAAGCCAACAGCUUGCGUUGAUUACGUCCCUGCCCUUUGUACACACCGCCCGUCGCUACUACUGAUUGGAUGUUUAAGCGAGGUUCUCGAACUGCUAGCGACUUAGCUUCGGUGAGGUCGCAGUGUGGGAAGUGAACCUAGCUUUGGUGUCUAGAGGAAGUAAAAGUCGUAACA